rnacentral:rRNA from 1 species
UGUAGGAUCCCGUGAACCAUCGAGUCUUUGAACGCAAGUUGCGCCCGAAGCCAUUAGGCUGAGGGCACGUCUGCCUGGGCAUCA